AUGGCGGCGGCGGCGGCCGGGGCUUCGGGUUGAUGGCUUCCUGCGUUGGCGGCCUGCUCUUUCCGGCUCGGGGGGAGCAGCCCCAGGGUCUCAGGGGGGUGCUGAUCGGUGAUAGGCUAUACUCCGGCGUGCUCAUCACCUUGGAAAACUGCUUGCUGCCCGACGACAAGCUCCGCUUCACCCCAUCCAUGUCGAGCGGUCCCUCGACGUCGAUACAGAGACUGGACUCCGCGUAGUGGGCUGCGAGCUCAUCCAGGGCAGCCGGCAUCCUGCUUCGCCUGCCGCAGGUGGCCAUGGCUACAGGGCAGGUGUUGUUCCAGCGGUUCUUUUACACUAAGUCCUUCGUGAAACAUUCCAUGGAGCAUGUGUCCAUGGCUUGUGUUCACCUGGCUUCCAAAUAGAAGAGGCUCCAAGACGAAUCAGGGAUGUCAUCAAUGUAUUCCAUCGCCUUCGGCAUCUGAGAGAGAAAAAGAAACCUGUGCCUCUGGUGCUGGAUCAAGAGUAUGUUAAUCUAAAGAACCAGAUUAUAAAGGCAGAGAGACGGGUUCUCAAGGAAUUGGGCUUUUGUGUCCAUGUGAAGCACCCUCACAAGAUAAUCGUUAUGUACCUUCAGGUGUUAGAAUGUGAGCGUAAUCAACACCUGGUCCAGACUGCAUGGAACUACAUGAAUGACAGCCUUCGCACGGAUGUCUUUGUGCGGUUCCAGCCUGAAAGUAUUGCCUGUGCCUGUAUCUAUCUUGCUGCUAGGACACUGGAGAUCCCUUUACCCAAUCGUCCACAUUGGUUUCUUUUGUUUGGAGCAACUGAAGAAGAAAUUCAAGAAAUCUGCUUUAAAAUCUUGCAGCUUUAUACACGGAAAAAGGUUGAUUUGACACAUCUGGAAAGUGAAGUGGAAAAGAGAAAGCAUGCCAUCGAAGAAGCAAAGGCUCGAGCAAAGGGUCUGCUCCCAGGGAAUGCGCCAGGUCUGGAAUGUGCUGCAGGGUUCUCACCUGCUCCCAAGCUGGAAUCCCCCAAAGAAGGUAAAGGAAGCAAGUCCUCCCCACUCUCUGUGAAGAAUGCCAAACGGAAAGUGGAAGGCCCAAAGAAAGUCAAGGGUGACAGCCCUGUCAAUGGGUUGCUAAAAGGGCAGGAGAGUCGAAGUCAAAGCAGGAGUCGUGAGCAGAGCUACUCAAGGUCCCCGUCACGGUCUGCUUCUCCGAAGAGAAGGAAAAGUGAUAGUGGCUCUACCUCAGGUGGGUCCAAGUCACAGAGUCGUUCUCGGAGCCGCAGUGACUCUCCUCCAAGGCAGGUACACCGUGGUGCUCCCUACAAAGGUUCAGAAGUGCGGGUCUCCCGGAAAUCCAAGGACUGCAAGUACCUCACCCAGAAGCCACACAAGUCUCGUAGCCGGAGCUCCUCUCGCUCCCGAAGCCGGUCACGAGAGCGGACAGACAAUUCUGGAAAAUACAAGAAGAAAAGUCAUUACUAUAGAGAUCAAAGACGAGAGCGCUCAAGGUCAUAUGAGCGCACAGGCCAUCGCUAUGAGAGGGACCACCCUGGACACAGCAGGCAUCGGAGGUGAGAUAGGUUCCCUGGUGGUUGCCCUUGGUCCCUCCCUGUUGGGCACACCUUGGCUUCAGUGGCCUUGUAGCAUGAUGUUUUUUGAAAAUGUUUUUGAUUGGACCUUGAGGUGAAUUUGAUUGAUGAGACAGUGGGCAAGGUGCCCUUCAGGCUGGCCUGGGGAGUGCUGCACAUCUGUCCCAGUUAAUGGUCCACCUCAACUGCAGACCUUCAGGUAGCUGGAUGGAACAGCAAAGGCACACGUCUCCGUUGGCGUGGCUUGGUGCUAUUGACAAGCUGUCUCUUCACUCCUAAACUGAUACUCAAUUACGUUAAGACAAGAAAGAUGAUUUUUCAAAUCUUUGCCUAUAUUAGGUUGUACUUGUGUACAUAUUUUACAGUGGUUCACAAUGAGAAAAUGGCCUUAAUAGCCCCCUUGUUCUCUAUUCACGUUGUAAAUAAACAUGUUUAAUACAAGUGAAAGCUAUAUAUGAGAACUCGGAAUUUUGAUUCUGUUAGCUUAACACUUGUAUAAAAAAUUGAGAUUUUUAAAAUGUGACGGUAUUUAGGUCUGUGUUGAAAGUCAUAUAUUUUUAUCUGUGCAAUGCUGAGUGCAGGCCACCAGCUCGAGAGAAAUUUUAUGUGGUUGAAUAAACAAUUCUCAGGACACUUGUUAUGUAA